GGGCGCUUAGCUCAGUUGGUUAGAGCGUCUCCUUUACACGGAGAAGGUCAGGGGUUCGAGUCCCUUAGCGCCCA
rnacentral:tRNA from 1 species